rnacentral:rRNA from 1 species
AGGACGAACGCUGGCGGCGUGCUUAAUACAUGCAAGUCGAGCGACGAAACUUCGGUGCUUGCACCGGAGCUGAAAGCGGCGAACGGGUGAGUAACACGUGGGCAACAUGCCCUGGACACCGGGAUAACAACGGGAAACCGUUGCUAAUACCGGAUGACCCCUGUAGAUCGCAUGAUCAGCAGGGCAAAGCUCCGGCGGUCUGGGAUCGGCCCGCGGUGUAUCAGCUUGUUGGUGGGUAACGGCCUACCGAGGCGAUGACGCAUAGCUGGCGUGAGAGCGCGACCAGCCACACUGGGACUGAGACACGGCCCAGUCUCCUACGGGAGGCAGCAGUAGGGAAUCUUGCACAAUGGGCGCAAGCCUGAUGCAGCGACGCCGCGUGUGGAUGAAGGCUUUCGAGUUGUAAACCACUUUCAGCGGGACGAAGCCUUACGGUGACGGUACCCGACAGAAGAAGGUCCGACCAACUACGUGCCGAGCAGCCGCGUAACG